AAGGAAUUUUCGGCAAUGGAGGAAACUCUGACCGAGCAACGCCGCGUGAACGAUGAAGUAUUUAGGUAUGUAAAGUUCUUUUAUUAAAGAAGAAAAAAUGAUGGAAAAAUCAUUCUGACGGUAUUUAAUGAAUAAGCCCCGGCUAACUAUGUGCCAGCAGCUGCGGUAAUACAUGGGGGGCAAGCGUUAUCCGGAUUUAUUGGGCGUAAAGGGUGCGUAGGCGGUUUAAUAAGUCUAUGGUCUAAGUUCAACGCUUAACGUUGUGAUGCUAUAGAAACUGUUUGACUAGAGUUGGAUAGAGGCAAGUGGAAUUCCAUGUGUAGCGGUAAAAUGCGUAAAGAUAUGGAGGAACACCAGUAGCGAAGGCGGCUUGCUGGGUCUUAACUGACGCUGAGGCACGAAAGCGUGGGGAGCAAACAGGAUUAGAUACCCUGGUAGUCCACGCCGUAAACGAUGAGUACUAAGUGUUGGGUUAAACCAGUGCUGAAGUUAACGCAUUAAGUACUCCGCCUGAGUAGUACGUACGCAAGUAUGAAACUUAAAGGAAUUGACGGGACUCCGCACAAGCGGUGGAUCAUGUUGUUUAAUUCGAAGAUACACGAAAAACCUUACCAGGUCUUGACAUACUCUGCAAAGCUAUAGAAAUAUAGUGGAGGUUAUCAGGGAUACAGGUGGUGCAUGGUUGUCGUCAGCUCGUGUCGUGAGAUGUUGGGUUAAGU
rnacentral:rRNA from 1 species